CUCUUAUCCAGAGUGGCGGAGGGACUGGCCCGAUGAAGCCCGGCAACCUAUACGAGCGGAAGCAGGAAGUUGGAGGUCGGAAGUCGGAAAUACACCGAUUUCGAGGACCGACGGCUAAUGCUUCCCGGAGUAAAAGGUGCCAAUUCCUGUAGGACCUAUGGGCCCUGGCAGAUGAGAG
rnacentral:ncRNA from 2 species